AUUUUACAAAUGUGAUUCGCGAAAACCUGUCCGGCAGCAAAAUGUAAGUUUUAUCGAUUUCAUUGAAUUCAGACUGAACAUACGUGCAGUAGUACUGUUUUUGCGAUAAAAUUGAUACAAAGUGGUAAAAAAUAAAACACGGCCAAAUGUUUGUUUACAGAACCAAGUGGCAAUGAUGCUCUACCAGAUGCAAGAAGUUUCAAUCUGAUUGAGUCCGUCCGUCUCGGAGUAAGAAGUAGUAUAAAAUUUUUUGGUUUUUGCAAAAAAAAAAGCAAAUAGGUACAAAAUGACAAAUCACAAAAUGUUUUAAUAAAGGGACCACCUGGGAGACAUACUCUACAAGAUGCAAGAGGUUUCAUUCCGAUUGGUCAAGCAAUUGGUCAAUCUCGGCGUAAUUGGCGAACAUACCUUUAAAAAAAAUAAAAAAAAAAUGCACGUAUUAUUAGGUAAUCUCCUCUUUUUCGAUGUCGGUUAAAAGUGGUGAAUAUGCACGUGACCGUGCGCGGGGCUUCGAGCAACCGGUGCCGUUAAUUGGAUCACGGUGAGACUACUUUUUAAGGUCAGCAGAUUAUCGGAACAAUGUCAUUCGUUGAUAGAAGCCCCGAGGGGAUGGAUUUCACCCACAAGCGAGUAUACCACAUUCUGUCGUCCAUUCUAAAUCCGCUGGUGGUGGAGCCUGUUGACGAAAACGUUGAGGAUGAAACGUAGCAUCAAUCAACACGCGAACAUUCGAAAUUAAUUAUCGAAUCUCGUACCGUUGCGUCUUUGGUUCUUUAUGUUCCAUCGGGUCCUUUCGGCAGUGUCUAUAAGAACCGUUAUGAAAUCAAACAAACGCGGUAGGGCAAAAUCAACUAGUGACUUUUCCUCGGUGAAACUAAACGAGCUCGAUGAUUUAUUGCACGGAAAACGGUUUAAAUUGUCGAGGACGUCGUUUCGUCUGAACGACACUGCAGGAUCUUCAAGGUCAUUUGAAAAUGACACAAAAGAAGAGGGCACAAAUUACUUUCCGAAUUGUAAUUCGUCAGUUUGGAUGAGAUCCUGCGAAAAGGAGGUGCUGGAGCCAAUACUUGGCACUGUUACCGGACAGAUUCCGAACUGGUUGAAGGGUACCUUGCUGAGAAACGGGCCAGGGAGCUUGAAAGUCGGAGAAUACACGUUCAACCACCUGUUCGACAGUUCAGCUUUAUUGCACCGAUUUGCAAUUGGGAAUGGAAAAGUGACGUAUCAGUGUAGAUUCGUUCAAACGGAUGUCUACAAGAAGAAUAACGCAGCGCAGAGGAUAGUCGUUACCGAGUUUGGUACGAGAGCAGUGCCUGAUCCCUGCAGAAGUAUUUUUCAAAGGGUUGCGGCAGUGUUCAAACCUGGCGACGAAUCAGAUAAUUCGAUGAUAUCAGUCUACCCGUUCGGUGACGAGUAUUACACGUUUGCCGAGUCAGCGGUGAUUCAUCGCAUCGAUCCUGAAACUUUGGAAACUAUAGGCAAGGUAAACGUGUCUGACUACGUUAGCAUCGUGAACCACACGUCUCAUCCUCAUGUGAUGAACGAUGGCACCAUUUAUAAUCUAGGGAUGAGUAUAACGCCACGUGGACCUAUGUACAAUGUUGUGUGUUUCUUGCCUAGCCGUAUCACCAUUGAUGGAUCAGGGGAGGAAAAGAAAUUGUCAAUGUUUGACCAAGCCACUAUUGUCGCUAGUGUCCCAUCCAGGUGGCUGUUGAAUCCCUCUUACAUGCACACGUUUGGUAUCACUGAAAACUAUUUCAUAAUUAUCGAGCAACCACUUGCAAUUUCUCUUACUACUAUAGUGGUCUGCAAAGUGAAGCAGGAACCAAUGCGCGCGGCUCUGAAGUGGCACGAAAACGAAAAUACCCUUAUACACGUGGUUUCAAGGGAGACGGGCUUGCUGGAAAGAACGUUUGUCACCGAAGCAUUUUUCUACCUUCACAUCAUUAAUCAGUUUGAAACAUGUGAUCGUAAUUACAUAGUCCUGGAUGUUUGCUGUUAUCGAGAUGCCAAAAUGUUGGAUUGUAUGUUCGUCGAGGCGAUGAAGAAUAUACACAAGAAUCCUGACUACGCUAAGAUGUUCCGCGGCAGACCCUUGCGAUUCGUAUUGCCAAUGAAGCGUACACAGUUAGAUGUUCCAUUGGAGUACAAUUUGAUCACUGUAAAAACGGUGAACCAAGGCCUGGUAUCAUUCCAAGACGUCAAGAAAUCUCUUAACAAUCAAGACGCUAGAUCAGACACGGAGUUCCUCGAUGAUUCGGCAAAUGAAAAUCCUGUUAACGUUAAUACGAAUAGCAAAAAUGAUUACAGAAAUAUUAUUCACAGAAAGGCCGCUGCUCAUAGACUUCCGGAUGGCAACAUUUACCUAAAACCAGAACUCCUCUGCGAUUUGGGCUGCGAGACUCCGCGUCUCAAUUAUGAUUAUUUCUUUGGCAGAGAGUACCGUUACUUCUACGCAAUUUCUAGUGAUGUGGACUUGGACAAUCCUGGAAUGAUCAUCAAGGUGGACGUGUUGAAGAAAACGAGAAAAACGUGGUGCGAGAAGAACGUUUAUCCCAGCGAACCAAUCUUCGUGCCGGAUCCCAAUGGGAAGAAUGAAGACGAUGGCGUCGUCUUAAGUGCCAUUGUCUGGUCAGAGAAGGAGACACAGGUGGGUCUGCUGAUUCUAGACAGCGUGACUCUCACAGAAAUUGCUAGAUCAACCUUCGAAACUCCUGGACCAGUGCCAAAGUGCUUACAUGGCUGGUUUACCUCGGCUAAGUAGAGUAAACUGAGAUUACAAAAUUGCGAGCAUCGGAUUUCCCACCUGUACAGAAAAUAUUACCUAGAUUUACUGCUUAUGCAAUACAGACCGCAGUAAUUGGUGUUGUAAAUUACUGGACGGUUAGAUUUUCUGUAUACUGGUGAAGUAUACUACAUUUUCUACGUUGUAUGAUCGAUUGCGGUUUAUCAUGUAUUUCGUUGAUGGUUUUGACAUUAACAUAGCUGUUCAAGGCUUUAAUAGUUCCUUUUGAAGUUGGAUUACAAUAUCCGAAAUACAGGGCAAGAACGAGUACUUAUAUGCCAUUCAAAGAUAUCGUCAGCACAAUAUGUAAAUAGUAUAAUAAAUUAUUUAAUGUCUUCCCCUGAUUGUACAGUGUAGUUAUACUUGACGAUUAAUGUCGCAUAAAACUUUGUUGUCGAGUAACACAAUAAAUUUGCAACAAAACGUGAUCAAUUGUAAACUAUUUGUCAGAUGGAAUGUAAAAUGCCCUACGAACUUCUGUUUUAAAUUAACAUGUUCACUACCACGCAAGUUUUACAUUUUUUCCUUGAGGGCUACGAAUAAUGUUACUGCAACCGCAAAAGAUAAACAUUGAUCACUGAUGACUAUCGUGACAGUAAACGUGUUAACACUUUAAAUUAUAAUAUGUCAUUGUUAUAUCAUGUAAUAAAACACGGUAUCUCUUCGUAUAAUAUUUAAUCAUCUGUUAAAUAUUAUUGUGAACAAGGCUUCCACUCGUAAACCGUAUCCAUUGGAUAAGAUACUCUGACACUUCAAUAGCAUUACAACUUUUUCAGGGGUGAAUGGGAUACUGAUAUUGGCAUGCGUCGCGUAGCUUAAGUCUUUAAAGGUUACUGUACUGGUGUCAUGGUUCAUUGACUAUUAAUAACCGAGCUAACGGUGCAGUUCACCGGUUACCUAUGAAGGUCUAAUCCCUUGGCGUUGUCUGUUAUAAUUUCUUCAAUUAGAAAACCUCAAGAAUAAGUCCUUACAAAGCAUAAGAUUAGAGUUGAACGGGGGCUUCAACUAUACGACCUUAAUGAACCGGAGCACGAAGAAAGGAUUGCUUUUCUCAAAAUCGGAUCUCCAGGCUUCGGCCUUUGGUAGGAGACCAUUCUAACUUUGUUACACACGUAGGCUGAUCUGUAUUUUUGUGAAGCUGCUAGUCACUAAAUGAUGUACGCAAUUUACGAUGUUUUGAAGGCUUAUAGACAGGAGAAUAUAUAAACAAUUUGCAAUAAAAUUUAGUGCAAGCAAUUUAAAAAAUGAGUAUCUAGAAUUUAUUUAUUUAUUAACAGAACGAUGAUUCCAAAUAUACAUCUAAAAUUUCUAAGAAGGUUUUUUAAUGAAAACAUUAAUCUGUUACCAUGGACAGCACAAUGUCCCCAUCUGAAGAAAAAUGUAUGAAAAUGAAAAUUU